rnacentral:rRNA from 1 species
GACGAACGCUGGCGGCGUGCUUAACACAUGCAAGUCGAACGGAAAGUCCCUGCUUGUGUUGGGUGCUCUAGUGUCGAACGUGUGAGUAACACGUGAGUAACCGUACCUUGACUGUGGGAUAACUUCAGGUAACGGGGGCUAAUACCGGAUAGGUGCUCCUGCUGCAUGGUGGGGCUUUGAAAGUUUCGGCGGUGGGGGAUGGACUCGCGGCUUAUCAGCUUGUUGGGUGGGUAGUGGCUGACCAAGGCUUUGACGGGUAGCCGGCCUGAGAGGGUGAGCGGCCACACUGGGACUGAGAUACGGCCCAGACUACUACGGGAGGCAGCAGUGGGGAAGAUAGCACAAUGGACGGAAGCCUGAUGCAGCAACGCCGCGUGCGGGAUGACGGCAUUCGGGUUGUAAACCGAUUUCGCAUGUGACGAAGAGUGAGUGACGGUAAUGGGUAAAGAAGCACCGGCUAACUACGUG